UCCGUAGGUGAACCUGCGGAGGGAUCAUUACCGAGUUUACAACUCCCAAACCCAAUGUGAACCAUACCUAACUGUUGCCUCGGCGGGGUCACGCCCCGGGUGGGUCGCAGCCCCGGAACCAGGCGCCCGCCGGAGGGACCAACCAAACUCUUUUCUGUAGUCCCCUCGCGGACGUUAUUUAUUACAGCUCUGAGCAAAAAUUCAAAAUGAAUCAAAACUUUCAACAACGGAUCUCUUGGUUCUGGCAUCGAUGAAGAACGCAGCGAAAUGCGAUAAGUAAUGUGAAUUGCAGAAUUCAGUGAAUCAUCGAAUCUUUGAACGCACAUUGCGCCCGCCAGUAUUCUGGCGGGCAUGCCUGUCCGAGCGUCAUUUCAACCCUCGAACCCCUCCGGGGGGUCGGCGUUGGGGACCUCGGGAGCCCCUAAGACGGGAUCCCGGCCCCGAAAUACAGUGGCGGUCUCGCCGCAGCCUCUCCUGCGCAGUAGUUUGCACAACUCGCACCGGGAGCGCGGCGCGUCCACGUCCGUAAAACACCCAACUUCUGAAAUGUUGACCUCGGAUCAGGUAGAAUCCCCCGC
rnacentral:rRNA from 1 species